rnacentral:tRNA from 1 species
GGGGAUUUAGCUCAGUGGUACAGCACUUGCCUAGCAAGUGCAAGGUCCUGGGUUCAAUUCCCAGUAACCGCA